rnacentral:tmRNA from 1 species
GGGGGCGACCGGUUUCGACGGGGAGAGUGGUGGCAGGGAUAGCGGGCCGAGGUGCCGUGGCCUCGUUAAACUGCGGUAAGCACAUUAAGUGCCAAUAAUAAUUACGCUUUAGCUGCUUAAUAACAAGUAGCCGUCCAAACCGGGCUUAACCUGGGAGGCUGGGGCGGGCGUCAAUUAAACCAGGGCGCUCAUCCGCCAAUUCCCGGAGGCGGAUGCUAAGAUCAUCGGGAUAGCCAAGGCCUAGUUCGUCCGUAGACGAGGCGGCGGCGAAAUCUAAAGUGCGGUCUGCGCCCGGAGAAGUCGCUGUGGCUGCCUUUUCGGACGGGGGUUCAACUCCCCCCGCCUCCACCA